rnacentral:rRNA from 1 species
AACGAACGCUGGCGGCAGGCUUAACACAUGCAAGUCGAACGGGUGUAGCAAUACAUCAGUGGCAGACGGGUGAGUAACACGUGGGAACCUUCCUAGGGGUACGGAACAACUCAGGGAAACUUGAGCUAAUACCGUAUACGUCCGUGAGGAGAAAGAUUUAUCGCCCUUAGACGGGCCCGCGUCGGAUUAGGUAGUUGGUGGGGUAACGGCCUACCAAGCCGACGAUCCGUAGCUGAUCUGAGAGGAUGAUCAGCCACACUGGGACUGAGACACGGCCCAGACUCCUACGGGAGGCAGCAGUGGGGAAUCUUGGACAAUGGGCGCAAGCCUGAUCCAGCCAUGCCGCGUGAGUGAAGAAGGCCUGGUUGUAAGUAC